AGUGAACGCUGGCGGUAGGCCUAACACAUGCAAGUCGAACGGCAGCACAGUAAGAGCUUGCUCUUACGGGUGGCGAGUGGCGGACGGGUGAGGAAUACAUCGGAAUCUACUUUUUCGUGGGGGAUAACGUAGGGAAACUUACGCUAAUACCGCAUACGACCUACGGGUGAAAGCAGGGGAUCUUCGGACCUUGCGCGAUUGAAUGAGCCGAUGUCGGAUUAGCUAGUUGGCGGGGUAAAGGCCCACCAAGGCGACGAUCCGUAGCUGGUCUGAGAGGAUGAUCAGCCACACGGGAACUGAGACACGGUCCAGACUCCUGCGGGAGGCAGCAGUGGGGAAUAUUGGACAAUGGUCGCAAGCCUGAUCCAGCCAUACCGCGUGGGUGAAGAAGGCCUUCGGGUUGUAAAGCCCUUUUGUUGGGAAAGAAAAGCAGCAGGUUAAUACCCCGCUGUUCUGACGGUACCCAAAGAAUAAGCACCGGCUAACUUCGUG
rnacentral:rRNA from 1 species